rnacentral:rRNA from 4 species
UGAUAGGCCGGGUGUGUAAGCGCAGCGAUGCGUUGAGCUAACCGGUACUAAUGAACCGUGAGGCUUAACCUU